GAUGAAGAACGUAGCGAAAUGCGAUACGUAAUGUGAAUUGCAGAAUUCAGUGAAUCAUCGAGUCUUUGAACGCACAUUGCGCCCCCUGGUAUUCCGGGGGGCAUGCCUGUCCGAGCGUCAUUGCUGCCCUCAAGCACGGCUUGUGUGUUGGGCCUCCGUCCUCCUCCCGGGGGACGGGCCCGAAAGGCAGCGGCGGCACCGCGCCCGGUCCUCGAGCGUAUGGGGCUUCGUCACCCGCUCUUGUAGGCCCGGCCGGCGCUUGCCGACACAUCAAUCUUUUUUCCAGGUUGACCUCGGAUCAGGUAGGGAUACCCGCUGAACUUAAGCAUAUCAAUAAGCGGAGGA
rnacentral:misc_RNA from 1 species